rnacentral:rRNA from 1 species
GGGCCCGCACAAGCGGUGGAGCAUGUGGUUUAAUUCGAUGAUACGCGAGGAACCUUACCAGGGCUUAAAUGGGAGAUGACAGGGGCAGAGACGCCCUUUUCUUCGGACUACUUACAAGGUGCUGCAUGGUUGUCGUCAGCUCGUGCCGUGAGGUGUCAGGUUAAGUCCUAUAACGAGCGCAACCCCUGUCGUUAGUUGCCAGCAAGUUAAGUUGGGCACUCUAGCGAGACUGCCAGUGCAAACUGUGAGGAAGGUGGGGAUGACGUCAAAUCAUCACGGCCCUUACGUCCUGGGCUACACACGUGCUACAAUGGCCGGUACAGAGGGAAGCUACCCCGUAAGGGGAUGCGGAUCUAUAAAACCGAUCUCAGUUCGGAUCGGGGUCUGCAACUCGACCCCGUGAAGCUGGAAUCGCUAGUAAUCGGAUAUC